UUUUAAAAAUGUGGGUAUAUUUCAUAUAGCUAUACCUUUUGGAUGUUCCUAUCUUCACCUUGUUUAUAUUCUCAUUUUAGUUCCGCACCUAAUAAAUUAAUAAUUAAUAUCUUUAUAACAUAGACAUGUUACUACAAAUAAAACUUUUAUUUAUCUUUGUUUUUCGUUAAUUCCUUGAAAGUGCUAAAAGUGGUGGUAUGUUUAAUCUUGAUUA
rnacentral:lncRNA from 1 species